GUCCACGCCCUAAACGAUGUCAACUGGUUGUUGGGUCUUCACUGACUCAGUAACGAAGCUAACGCGUGAAGUUGACCGCCUGGGGAGUACGGCCGCAAGGUUGAAACUCAAAGGAAUUGACGGGGACCCGGCACAAGCGGUGGAUGAUGUGGUUUAAUUUCGAUGCAACGCGAAAACCUUAACCCACCUUUGACAUGUACGGAACUCGCCAGAGAUGGCUUGGUGCUCGAAAGAGAGCCGUAACACAGGUGCUGCAUGGCUGUCGU
rnacentral:rRNA from 1 species